UCCCAAAGUGCUGGGAUUACAAGCGUGAGUCACUGUGCCAGGCCUAACAGAUUAAUUUUUUUUUUGGCUCUUUCACUUCAUAUGAGUAGAAUAAUGUACUGUGUACCUUUUAGAGUGAUUUCUUGAUCAAUGUAUUUAUCCAUCUUUGCAUGUAGCAGUGUUUCUUCUAUUUUCCUUGAUAUAUGGUAUGUUAUUGUCCAUUAUCAAAAUUUUUCUUUACUUUUUUAUUGUAGAUAGACAUUGUUUUUAUUUCCAGUUUGGGACUUUUAUAGAGGAUGCCAUGAACAUUUUGUAUAUGUCUGUUGGAGUUCAUAUAUAUGCCUUCCUGUUGGAUAUAUGCUCACAGCUGGAAUUGCUGGAUUAGAAAAAGGUCUCCAUUUCUCAAAAUUAUUCGAAGCCAUCUGCUCGGAAAACUGUCAUAAUAGCCUUCCAGAGUUACAAUAACUUUAAGGUACAUGACAACACCUGGACAUGAUCAACACACAGCCUCAUCCCUAGGGUGAUUCCCAUGCAGUGAUUGCCAAAUGGGCUUUCUUCCCAGGUCCCCUGAAAGAAUCUGGAGGAAAUAAUGACGCUCAGCAGAUGAUUCAUGAUCACUUGGAAUUUCUGAGAACCAUGGCAAGUAUGAUAGCAGCACAGAGAUAAGCUUUAAGUAAUUUCUAAAUAUCAUACAUUUCAGUUUAUUUAUCAUCACAAUGGUGUUUUUUGUUUGUUUGUUUUUGUUUUUUUUUUGAGAUAGAAUCUCACUCUGUCACUCAGG